GUGGGGAAUAUUGGACAAUGGGCGAAAGCCUGAUCCAGCCAUGCCGCGUGUGUGAAGAAGGUCUUCGGAUUGUAAAGCACUUUAAGUUGGGAGGAAGGGCAGUAAGUUAAUACCUUGCUGUUUUGACGUUACCGACAGAAUAAGCACCGGCUAACUUCGCGCCAGCAGCCGCGGUAAUACGAAGGGUGCAAGCGUUAAUAGGAAUUACUGGGCGUAAAGCGCGCGUAGGUGGUUUUGUAAGUUGGAGGUGAAAACCCCGGGCUCAACCAGGGAACUGCCUCCAAAACUGCAUGACUAGAGUACUGUAGGGGGUAGUGGAAUUUCCUGUGGAGCGGUGAAAUGCGUAUAUAUAGGAAGGAACACCAGUGGCGAAGGCGACUACCUGGACUGAUACUGACACUGAGGUGCGAAAGCGUGGGGAGCAAACAGGAUUAGAUACCCUUGUAGUCC
rnacentral:rRNA from 1 species